GACGAACGCUGGCGGCGUGCCUAAUACGUGCAAGUCGAGCGCAGGAAAUCAUCCGAACCCUUCGGGGGGACGUUGAUGGAAUGAGCGGCGGACGGGUGAGUAACACGUAAAGAACCUGCCCUCAGGUCUGGGAUAACCACGAGAAAUCGGGGCUAAUACCGGAUGGGUCAUCGGACCGCAUGGUCCGAGGAUGAAAGGCGCUUCGGCGUCGCCUGGGGAUGGCUUUGCGGUGCAUUAGGUAGUUGGUGGGGUAAUGGCCCACCAAGGCGACGAUGCAUAGCCGACCUGAGAGGGUGAUCGGCCACACUGGGACUGAGACACGGCCCAGACUCCUACGGGAGGCAGCAGUAGGGAAUCUUCCACAAUGGACGAAAGUCUGAUGGAGCAACGCCGCGUGAACGAUGAAGGCCUUCGGGUCGUAAAGUUCUGUUGUAAGGGAAGAACAAGUGCCGCAGGCAAUGGCGGCACCUUGACGGUACCUUGCGAGAAAGCCACGGCUAACUACGUGCCAGCAGCCGCCGUAA
rnacentral:rRNA from 1 species